GAUGAACGCUAGCGGCAGGCUUAACACAUGCAAGUCGAGGGGUAUAGUAGCAAUACUAGAGACCGGCGCACGGGUGCGUAACGCGUAUGCAACCUACCUUGAACAGGGGAAUAGCCCAGAGAAAUUUGGAUUAAUGCCCCAUAGCAUAUAAGGAUCGCAUGGUCUUUAUAUUAAAGUCACAACGGUUCAAGAUGGGCAUGCGUCCCAUUAGUUAGUUGGUAAGGUAACGGCUUACCAAGACGAUGAUGGGUAGGGGUCCUGAGAGGGAGAUCCCCCACACUGGUACUGAGACACGGACCAGACUCCUACGGGAGGCAGCAGUGAGGAAUAUUGGUCAAUGGGCGCAAGCCUGAACCAGCCAUGCCGCGUGCAGGAUGAAGCAUCUAUGGUGUGUAAACUGCUUUUGUACGGGAAGAAACACCUCUACGUGUAGGGGCUUGACGGUACCGUAAGAUAAGGAUCGGCUAACUCCGUGCCAGCAGCCGCGGUAAU
rnacentral:rRNA from 1 species